ACGCUGGCGGCGUGCUUAACACAUGCAAGUCGAACGCGAAAGGACUUCGGUCCUGAGUAAGUGGCGCACGGGUGAGUAACGCGUAGAUAACCUGUCUUCAUGUCUGGAAUAAUACGCCGAAAGGGGUACUAAUACCGGAUAUUCUUUGCUUUUUCAUAAGGUUAUGCAAGCAAAGGUGGCCUCUGCAUAUGCUACUGCAUGAAGAGGGGUCUGCGUACCAUUAGCUAGUAGGUGGGGUAAUGGCCUACCUAGGCGACGAUGGUUAGCGGGUCUGAGAGGAUGAUCCGCCACACUGGCACUGGAACGCGGGCCAGACUCCUACGGGAGGCAGCAGUGAGGAAUAUUGCGCAAUGGGGGAAACCCUGACGCAGCGACGCCGCGUGAGUGAAGGAAGGCCUUCGGGUCGUAAAGCUCUGUCAAGAGGAAAGAAGUGUACAAUGGCUAAUACCUGUUGUAUUUGACGGUACCUCUAAAGGAAGCACCGGCUAACUCCGUGCCAGCCGCAGC
rnacentral:rRNA from 1 species